ACCGGCAGCUCAAGUGGUGUCCAUUAUUAUUGGGCCUAAAGCGUUCGUAGCCGGUUUGAUAAGUCUCUGGUGAAAUCCCGCAGCUUAACUGUGGGACUUGCUGGAGAUACUAUCAGACUUGAGGUCGGGAGAGGUUAGGGGUACUCCCAGGGUAGGGGUGAAAUCCUAGAAGACUGGGAGGACGACCGGUGGCGAAGGCGCCUAACUGGAACGAACCUGACGGUGAGUAACGAAAGCCAGGGCCGCUAACCG
rnacentral:rRNA from 1 species